rnacentral:rRNA from 1 species
AUGAAUGGUCGUACAAAAAAUAAUCUGUCUCAUCUGCAAAAGUGAAAUUUUACUUUUGAGUGAAAAGGCUCAAAUAUACUAAGGGGACGAUAAGACCCUAUAAAACUUUAUAUAAAAGAAUUAAUUUUUAAAUUAUGGUAUAAGAGUGGAUUAGUUUUUGUUUAUUAUGUUGGGGCGACAAGAAUACAAAUAGGUAACUGUUUGAGAAUUAAAAUAAUUAUUUUUAGAGAUAUUGAUCCUUUUUUAAGGAUUAUAAGAAAAAGUUACUUUGGGGAUAACAGCGU